rnacentral:rRNA from 1 species
UGCAGUCGAGCGAACAGAUAAGGAGCUUGCUCCUUUGAAGUUAGCGGCGGACGGGUGAGUAACACGUGGGUAACCUACCUAUAAGACUGGAAUAACUUCGGGAAACCGGAGCUAAUGCCGGAUAACAUAUAGAACCGCAUGGUUCUAUAGUGAAAGAUGGUUUUGCUAUCACUUAUAGAUGGACCCGCGCCGUAUUAGCUAGUUGGUAAGGUAAUGGCUUACCAAGGCGACGAUACGUAGCCGACCUGAGAGGGUGAUCGGCCACACUGGAACUGAGACACGGUCCAGACUCCUACGGGAGGCAGCAGUAGGGAAUCUUCCGCAAUGGGCGAAAGCCUGACGGAGCAACGCCGCGUGAGUGAUGAAGGUUUUCGGAUCGUAAAACUCUGUUAUUAGGGAAGAACAAAUGCGUAAGUAACUGUGCGCAUCUUGACGGUACCUAAUCAGAAAGCCACGGCUAACUACGUGCCAGCAGCCGCGGUAAUACGUAGGUGGCAAGCGUUAUCCGGAAUUAUUGGGCGUAAAGCGCGCGUAGGCGGUUUCUUAAGUCUGAUGUGAAAGCCCACGGCUCAACCGUGGAGGGUCAUUGGAAACUGGGAAACUUGAGUGCAGAAGAGGAAAGUGGAAUUCCAUGUGUAGCGGUGAAAUGCGCAGAGAUAUGGAGGAACACCAGUGGCGAAGGCGACUUUCUGGUCUGUAACUGACGCUGAUGUGCGAAAGCGUGGGGAUCAAACAGGAUUAGAUACCCUGGUAGUCCACGCCGUAAACGAUGAGUGCUAAGUGUUAGGGGGGUUUCCGCCCCUUAGUGCUGCAGCUAACGCAUUAAGCACUCCGCCUGGGGGAGUACGACCGCAAGGUUGAAACUCAAAGGAAUUGACGGGGACCCGCACAAGCGGUGGAGCAUGUGGGUUUAAUUCGAAGCAACGCGAAGAACCUUACCAAAUCUUGACAUCCUUUGAAAACUCUAGAGAUAGAGCCUUCCUCCUUCGGGGGACAAAGUGACAGGUGGUGCAUGGUUGUCGUCAGCUCGUGUCGUGAGAUGU